rnacentral:misc_RNA from 1 species
GAUGAAGAACGUAGCGAAAUGCGAUACUUGGUGUGAAUUGCAGAAUCCCGUGAACCAUCGAGUCUUUGAACGCAAGUUGCGCCCGAAGCCAUUAGGCCGAGGGCACGCCUGCCUGGGCGUCACACGUCGUUGCCCCCCCAUCUACUCCUUCGGGAUUGCGGGGGGCGGAUGAUGGCCUCCCGUGCGCCUCGUCGCGCGGUUGGCAUAAAUGCCAAGUCCUCGGCGACGCACGCCACGACAAUCGGUGGUUGCGAAACCUCGGUUGCCCGUCGUGUGCGGUCGUCGCGCAUCGAGGGCUCGAAAAAAUUGCCGGGCUCCGGCUCGGCUUUCAACGCGACCCCAGGGCAGGCGGGGUUACCCGUUGAAUUUAAGCAUAUCAAUAAGCGGAGGA